rnacentral:sRNA from 1 species
GCUCAGUGCGGUGGCGCACACCUGUAAUCCCAGCAGCUUGAGAGGCUGAGACAGGAGGAUCGCGAGUUCAAAGACAACCUCAGCAAUGGCAAGGCGCUGAGCAACUCAGUGAGACCCUGUCUCUA